UACGGGGGAGCAAGCGUUGUUCGGAUUUACUGGCGUAAAGGGCGCGUAGGCGGCCACCGCAAGUCGACUGUGAAAAUCUCCGGGAGCUUAACCCCGGAAAGGUCAGCCGAUACUGCGGGGCUAGAGUGCAGAAGGGGCAAGCUGGAAUUCUCGGUGGUAGCGGUGAAAUGCGUAGAUAUCGAGAGGAACACCUGCGGCGAAGGCGGGUUGCUGGGCUGAUACUGACGCUGAGGCGCGAAAGCGUGGGGAGCAAACAGG
rnacentral:rRNA from 1 species